CUUCGCUUUAGGUACCUGCCAAACGGCUAAAGCAGACGCUCGGCGUGAAAGAAGCCUCGAGAUAGACUGAGAGGUCUUUAGGGCCAAGUAUUACUGCAGUGUAACUUACGGCUGGGCUUAACAAUAUCCAGCUGGAAAGCUUUGAACAAACGUGGUGCGCUGACUGAUGUACACAAAUGAUGUUAACACCGCGACUGCCCCUACGCGGGCGUUUCACCUUCAGGAGAAAGAAGUCAAGGCAUUUGGAAGACUGAGAUUGAAAAACGUAGAUAACCUAAGGAAAAAUGAGGCAAACAAGCAUUUCAAAGAACACUUUGAACUCCGGGGUGUCAACACGUGUUGCCACAAUAGAUAAAUGCUUCCACAGAUUUAAAU
rnacentral:lncRNA from 1 species